GCUGACCUCAGAGCAGGGAGGAUCUUGCUGGCUUUGCUCCAUCUACCCCCAUGGGGGGCACAGGUUCAGCUCACGGGGUGGCAGCUUCUGAACCACUCACUUACAACGCUCCUGAAUACCACUAACUAAUAAGCCAGGCACCCGGCUUACACUGGUGCACGACAUUCCUCAUGCAGAAGACCCGCUUUUUGAACUGCUCUUUGCUACCCAGCAUUUACUUUUCUCGCUCCUCUAAUCAUCCUGGGUCAAGGACCUAAGCAGAGUUAUUCCUCUAGACAUAAAGUUAGAAAACUGGUGAGUGGUACUGGGACUCACCAGAUGACAGAGCGCACACAUGAGUCUGGGCACGGCUCAGAGGGCAUCUCCAAGCCCCAGAUCAGGGUUCCAGUUAUUAGAUCUACCUUCAGCUUGUUCUCUCCUGAAUUUUCUAUCUUCAUAUUUUCCAAAACAUUUUCUCCAUUCUGUGUUACAAACAACAUUUAAAUGUUCGAAUAAUUGAGAAAUUGUUUUCCAUUUUUGCUUGUACAUCUGAUGUACAUCUGGAUGGGUGGCACUGGGCACACUUAAAAUAAAGGGAAAUAAAUAGCUCUGAGAUGCAACAGCAGAUGCAUUUGCUCAAAAGCGAACGGCAAAGAUCUGCACUUCAUUUUUACAGUAUUUCAUCAGACAUAUGGUACGCCAGGCUAGGUGAUUUUUAUUUAAAAAGUCACUUGUGCUGAAUUCAGAAUUUAAAGGCAUACACAGACAGUCAUUCUGCUCCCCGUGGGCACAAGGGCAUUCUUAUUCCUGGGGAUGUCAUUACUGAUGAUCGCAAGGCGAACUGAAGUUUUCAGAGGGAGUGCCAGUUUCCAACGUGAAGCUCAGCCAUGCGAGGAGAAAACCAGAGGUUCCAGCUGUCUCCGUUUAAGGCUCAAUCCUCAAAGCUUCGGGCUGCAGUUCUGGCCUCCUCAACAGAUCGGCAGGUAUUCAAGCGAGCUCGUUUCACGGAAGCAAGAUGGCAGGCACUGGCACCACAGCCAGAAGAAACUGAAGGGACUAGCUGGAAAAAGAACAUCUGCUUAUUCAAAUCAAGUUAUAAGAGAUGUACUGAAUCACAAAUGGUGACGUCAUGGUACCUGAAUCACCGAUCAGCAAGCCAUCCAAUGGAGGAUGAUGAUCUACCUCUCUUGAUCUCACAGUCAAGAGUUUUCCAUCUCCACGAUAACUCAACUUCAGUUCAACCCCAGUACAGGCUGGCUGAGCACCACUAGGAACAGGUCAACCCCCUCACACAGACCAAGAAAGAACAAAAAAGCCUAGCUGGAUGUCCUUAACCUCCUCUGACUCCCAUUUUCAACUGGAAGCUUUGGUCCCCUUGACAUCUGAGCAACAUAGAAGCCACUACAACUUCAAAGUCCUUCCCUGUCAUCUCCAAUCUGAAGGGAGUCCAUAAUCUGAAGGAAACCCUCUGGUUGGGUAGACUUGAAUUCAUUUCCGUCAAUUUAUAGUUCACUUUUGGAAACCAGAGGAGGCCAAAUCCUAGGAGACCUGGCUCCUCAGGGUUCCACAGAGUGGUCCAUUUAUUUCUGGUUGCAAAUGGAGAGGCAUAGAUCUUCCCUACCCCCUCAGCAGUGGGGCCUUUUGUAAUUACGCUCACUCUCUUAUCAAGCUGUUCUGACUGCUCAUGUAUAUGGAUGGCCCUUGUUCCAGUGUCCAAGUAGCAUCGUACAACAUUCAGAACUUCUCGGCCUGGCUCCUUGUUCUAUAAUUUUUUGAAAAAUCACAGAGGGAAGGAAGCAGAGGAGAGGUUUAAUUUGGAAGUCAAGUUGCGCUCCUUUCACGGACUAUACGGCAAAUAGUUACUUCAGUAGUGUGGGUCUUGCUGAAAACUCUUGAACCAUAAACACUGUGCACUGUUUCUCCUCAGUCUCUCUUUCUAGCCUAUACCAACUACUACUAUCACACUGACUGGAGACUUUGCCAGGGUCAGAGGUUCUCAAGGUUUAAGAUUAAUCAGAAUCACCAGGGGAAAAUGUUAGCAAUGCUGAUUUCCAGGUCUUGUGCUCUAGGACUUGAUUUGGGAGAUACAAGAUUUAGGAGAUAGAAGAAAUCUAAAUUUUUAGCUACAGAUCAAUUGGUUCUGAAGCAGGAAGGCUAAGGUACAUUGGCUCACUGGCCCAGGUCAAAGCUGACACUUUCUAAAUCCAUUUUUAACAUUGGCAGGUGGAUUUUUUCUUUUGUUUCAUACCAAACAUUCAAGAUUAAAUGCUGUCUCCCAGCCUUUAAAAUAUCUUAAUACCUUGUUGAGGUAAACAGUAUGUUUUUGAUUUGUAGAAUUGUUCUUCUUCAAUUCAG
ensembl:lincRNA